rnacentral:lncRNA from 1 species
UAUAUCCAAACAAAAUUAAUUGUAAUGUAAACAAAUGUAAAAACAAGUAUACUGCAUACGUUAUAGUCCCAUUUCUCAUGGGAAGGGUCAGCUGCGAAUGCUAAGAUCAUUCAAAUAACAUGACUUAUCACAGCAAAACAAAAGUUUAAAUUUACUAUUUAAAUUUGCUACUUGAAUCUUUCCUGGACAAAAACAAACCUGGCAACUAGUUUCUUCUGAAGAGUAAACAGCACAGAAGUUUCCUCUUUCACUCUGACCGCAAAUUCAACCACAGAGUUAAAACAAAAAGUUUUCUAGAAUUCAUGAAUCUGUACAGAGGUGUUCAGCUGGGAAGCUUAGGAAUCAUAUUCUACUAGAUCAACUAAGUCAACAAAGACAAAGAAACUGAGUCAUGGGUGGCUAAGUAACUUGCCUAAAACCAAAAUAGCUAAUUAGUGACUUGGGACUCAGGUUUCUGAAAUUCCACAGGCGUGCACUUUCCACUAGACCACAUGGGUGAGGAUGGGGGAUGGUAGGAGGAGGUGCAAAAAUUCAAAAUGGACUUGGCCCGUUACACAUCUGCCCAGAGUAGUUUCAUCUUACAUGGCCUAAGGGACUCUCAAGGAACAAGCUAAAGUCAACUUUUUUUUUUUUUUUUUUUUUAAGACGGAGGCUUGCGCUGUCACCCAGGCUGGAGUGCAGUGGCAUGAUUUCAGCUCGCUGCAGCCCCUGUCUCCUGGGUUCCAGCGAUUCUCCUGCCUCAGCCUCCUGGGUAGCUGGGAUUACAGGCGCACACCACCACGCCCAGCUAAUUUUUAUAUUUUUAGUAGACAGGGGUUUUCACCAUGUUGGCCAGGCUGGUCUCGAACUCCUGACUUCAGGUGAUCCGCCUGCUUCCACCUCCCAAAGUGCUGGGAUUACAGGCGUGAGCCACCACGCCCGGCCAAGCUAGAGUCACUUCUAAUGGUGCCUGGGUAGCGUUUUUAGACAAUAAAGUGACUAACAUUAAUUUGGAGUCAGAGUAUACACAUACCAACAGUAAUUCAAAUACCAUUCCAAAAGUCACUAUCUGAUUUUCUAAAGGUCAGAUAGGAAUUAAAGGAAAAAUGCCAUUUGAAUAUAUUCAAUUGCCAAUAAAAUAUACACUCCAAGGAGAC